UUUUCACACCAAAGUACAUUGAUCUCAAGGAGACAGAACACUUCUCCUUCCUGAGCGGUAUGGCAGCUAGUGGUCCCAUGGUGUUUAUACUUGCAUACUAUUGUUUGUACAGAUGAACGUGGUACCUUCAGGUGUUUGGAAAUUGCUCCCAAGGAUGAAUCAGACUUGUGGACGUCUUUUGAUUUUCCCAUGAUGUCAAGCAAAGAGGCACUGAGUUUGAAGGUAGGCCUUGAAAUACAUCCACAGGUACACCUCCAAUUGACACAAAUUAUGUCAAUUCGCCUAUCAGAAGCUUCUAAAGCCAUGACAUAAUUUUCUGGAAUUUUCUAAGCUGUUAAAUGGCACAGUCGACUUAGUGUAUGUAAACUUCUGACCCACUGAAAUUGUGAUACAGUGAAUUAUAAGUUAAAUAAUCUGUAAACAAUUGUUGGAAAAAUUACUUGUGUCAUGCACAAAGUAGAUGUUCUAACUGACUUACUUUGUGAACAAGAAAUUUGUGGAGUGGUUGAAAAACGAGUUUUAAUGACUCCAACCUAAGUGUAUAUGUUGUAUUUUGCAGAUUGUAGUAUACUAUAGUGUUUACUGUAGGUUUUAUGCAGACUGUACUAUACUGUAAAAACAGACAGAGGCACCAGUCUCACCCGUCUGUAAUGUUUUUCCUGUACAUGUGUGAGAGAGUACGUGUGUGAGAGAGCUGCAGGAGAUUAUGACAUCGGAGGCAGGUCUGCCCAUAGACACAGAACCAACUGAUACCUCACUGACUGACCAUGAGGCCAGCCACAGGCUACCCCAUUCACCACAGAACUUCCUUUAAGGCCCGAUUCAGAGCGGAGUUAAUCACUCACAAUUUGGAUUUUGGCAUAAAUCAUUAAUUGACAAGUAUAGUUGUGUUUCAGCACCAGUGGAUCCAACAGUUUAGAGUCAGAUGGACCUCCUCCUCACCUCCAGGCCUUCAACAAGCUGAUGGCUCCUCCAGCAGCACCCAGGAGGGAGCCUCCCAAAUGGAGAGAGAUACUAGUCCCCCCAGAGCCCAGCCUUCCAGAUAAGGUGUCUGUCCUAUACCUGUUCUUCGACACAGAGAGGUGCCACGAAAUCGAAGUCAGAGUAACUGCAGCAACUGAUGGCAGAGUAUGUGAGCAGCAGGAAGCAGUUGACCCUCGGCCCGACCCUCAAUGGGAGAGGGCCACAUUCCUAUACUGCCCCUGCCAGUAUCCAACCG
rnacentral:lncRNA from 1 species